ACACGUAGGGGCCUGACGUUGUUCGGAAUCGUUGGGCGUAAAGGGCGCGCAGGCGGCCGUCCAAGUCCGGUGUUAAAUGGUCGGGCUCAACCCGAUCAUGCGCUGGAAACUGGGCGGCUUGAGUCCCGUAGGGGAUGCCGGAAUUCCAGGUGUAGGGGUGAAAUCUGUAGAUAUCUGGAAGAACACCGAUGGCGAAGGCAGGCAUCUGGCCGGAGACUGACGCUGAGGCGCGAAGGCGCGGGGAGCGAACAGGUUUAGAUACCCGGGUAGUCCGCGCAGUAAACGAUGCGCACCAGGUGUCGGGCGGCAGCGCCCGGUACCGGAGCUAACGCGAUGAGUGCGCCGCCUGGGGAGUAUGCCCGCAAGGGUGAAACUCAAAUGAAUUGACGGGG
rnacentral:rRNA from 1 species